AAAACAAUAAAGUAUGGAUGUUCCGCACAGCCAAAUUAAUAACAUGGGGAAUCAUCUGGGGUGUAUUAGCAACGCUCCUUUGGCUAAAAUUGAUUGACCAAUUAGUCUUGAUCGCCUGGUUUUUUACUUAUUCGGCCUUCUUUACCCUCCCACCUCGGAAUAACAAAACUGUACAUUUAUUGUCAACCCCUCUUACGCAUCGUAGGAGUGGGGUGUCUGUACCUGCUUUGUCACGGCGUGAUAGAGAAGUACUGAGUACUACCGAUUUAAGUGAAGGUUCCCCGGCUGGGGACAUAACUACCAACUCAGCAGAAACUACAGUGUAAUGAAUAAGGCUGCAUUGACUUUGUGUAUGUUGCAGGAUGGCCCCAUGCCGAGGUGUGCUCUCUGCGGGUCCACGUCGAUUAAAUCCGCGUGGGUCGUGGGGAAGACCAUUAUGGGCCAUUGCUGCUUCCCGUCGGCGAUGAACCGAUCACGAGAGUUCUGGCUCAUGCCGGACGGGAUAUAUACUAGUCGCAUUCAUAAAGCACCACCCCGGGAAGGGGGAAUUUGGAAAUGGCCGGGAUUUGCUGACUUGGCUUGUAAAGCUACUCUGUUACAGGUGACCAAAGGGGAACCGUUGAUCCCGCGAGAUGCGUUUCUUCCUGUGGGCGACGUCUUCCCCCUAAUCCGCAUGACUUGGCGCUUGCCUGACGGCUCCUACCGGCUUACGACGCACGGUGACAAUGGUUCCUGCGUCAUGGCCAGUCCUUGCGUUGUGCCUCAGUACCCUGUAUGGCGUCCCCCUACGGACAUGGCAGUGACGUUGGUGAUGGGGUUUAAGGUGGAUGAUGUGUCUGAUGAUGAGGACAUGGCGGAUAGAGGUGGCAAUGAGAGCCACGGGGGAGCGACCCCUUGGUACUCGCCCCUGUCCCCCAAUGAGCUGUCCUCUCCGGCCUCGCCGGACCAGCCUGAUUCCUCUUUCUCUCCGACCUCGCCUGACCAUAAGGUUCCGCCGGGGCCCCCGCCCGUUUCACCAGCAUAUGAUAUGCUGAUUGAGGCCUUGUCCGACUUGUCGCCCCAACCUCUGGUGGGUCGGCUGUUGAACGAUGAAGUCUUGCCCAAGGGGCCACGCACCAGUCCUUCUUAAACCAAGGAGGGGGUGUCAAGGUAACGCGCCUCGCCACGCAGAUAAUUAAACAUUAAACAUCAGAAGAAGGAAUAGGAUGGUUUAAAGUCCUGGUGCAAAAUCCUAAUUCGAACACUAGAGAGCAGCAGAGAGAAUACAAAAGCUAUGAAAGCCAGCCCCGCAGAUCCUGAACCAUGAAGUAAUCAAAAGUUAAUAGAACACGUAAUGGUUAACAACACCUACCAAAGAACAACACCUACCAAAGUCAAUGCUCUACAAAAAGCCUUAUUUGAUGAUUAUGCUUUCAGUAAUAAUGUAAUGCUGAAGUGAUUUUAUUUUUCUUGACUUUUCAGUCAUUCCUAAAAUGACAGUAUUUAGAGGACCAAAGAUAUAAAUCAAAAUGCUGAGCAAAGCUUAUGAAACCGCUUUGAGUGAAGAAUGUUACCUUGUGACUAUUGCUUUAUCUCCAAGUAAUGUCAUAUGAUGUGCAACAAAUGUUAUGAGCCUAGUGCUUACGGGAGAGCAAGAGUAGGCAUUGUGUUAAUGUAUAUACAUGAUAACCAAGCUGCAGAAUACUGGAAUACUGCGCAAAAAGACUGUCUAUCAUUGGGAAGCUGAAUCAUGAUACAGGAGCUGCCCCGGUUGACCCAAGUCAUCUCAAGCAGAAGAGAUUGCACAACCUGUCCUGAUUCGACCUCGCCUGGGACCUGAGGUCCCCUCAACCAGUUCAAACCAGAUAGAGAUGGCCCGAUCUCCCCCCUCCUUGCCUGAGAGGGGACAAAACUUUCCAGAACAACACGAGAUCACGAGAAAAUGAGAUCAUUGACUAAGCAACCUCGUGACUGGGAGGAGAUAGAACUUUCGAGAACAAACAUGUGACUUUCGGUUAUGAAACUCCCCUUGUGGAGACCGAGGCUUUAAAAGGAGAUGCAUUGCGACAUCGGGCGCGGUCCUCCGUCGGCGAUCCGGACCGAGUGGCCGUACGUGAUGGAUCGUCUCACUCCCCAUUUUCUAGGACUUAGAGGGACUCGAGGGGGAAUGGGAGAACGGAGCAAGUGAGGAUCUGAGAGUCGUCGGGCAGGACUAGUCCCGACGGCAUCAGCACAGAUCUCAAUCUCCGGAGAAAAGGUCCGGGAAAAACAGGGGGGACGGAGGAGAUGAGAGCUAGCGGGCGAAUGAGUCCAACGGCACAUACCUCCCUACCCUGGAGGAGCUUCCCCAUUGCGCGGGAGGCUCUUUCCGCCCGGUUCCUCUUUCUUAUCCCUUUUGGUUCCCCUUUUGAGCUUCCUUGUUAAAUCCCCUCAGUAUCGCUGUAACAGGCGAUUUUUCUCCUUUUUUCCACUUUUUAAAACCUGAAUUUGACCCAAAUUGGAUUUACCACGAUGAUCCCGAACUUGGAUAUUCGCGGUGGAGGCUCGUCUAGGAUUGGUCCUCGUUUCUGGGAGAGUCCACAGCACCUCCUGUAUCACAACCAUUCUGCCGGCACACCUUCAGCAGCACGAUGUUUCUAACGGGAGCUGGAGGGUGAUCAGCUUCAUUGAAGAACAGGAGGAGGAGAGGCACAACGUUUGUCAUUUGUGAUAUGUUUUUAGACUUUUCUCCUAACUAAAAAAACUAUGUUUUGUUAAUUUCUUGAUAUAGUUCUUGUAUUUAAAUAUUUUAACAAUCAAAUAUUUUUCAACUGUGUUUUAGAUAUGAAUUGUAUGAAAUAAAUCAGUGAAGCCCUAUUCAAAUUCUACUCUAUCUAAUCUGCUCGAUCACACUGCUGUCAACCUGCUGUACCUCCAAACUCCUUGGCUUACUCGCAGUUGGAGGGUUCCCCCCGAACGGGGGGACAAAUCAAGGAACCAAUCCCUGCACCCCGA